GUGGAACGCUUUGAUUACACCGGUGCUUGCACCAUCGUAAUCAAAGAGUCGCGAACGGGUGAGUAACGCGUGGGGAAUCUGCCUUGGAGCGGGGGACAACCUUUGGAAACGAAGGCUAAUACCGCAUAACAAUGAUUUGGACAUCCUUAUCAUUUGAAAGUAGCUAUUGCUACACUCCAAGAUGAUCCCGCGUUGGAUUAGCUAGUUGGUAGGGUAAAGGCCUACCAAGGCGAUGAUCCAUAGCCGACCUGAGAGGGUGAUCGGCCACAUUGGGACUGAGACACGGCCCAAACUCCUACGGGAGGCAGCAGUAGGGAAUCUUCGGCAAUGGGGGCAACCCUGACCGAGCAACGCCGCGUGAGUGAAGAAGGUUUUCGGAUCGUAAAACUCUGUUGGUAGAGAAGAACGUUGAGUAGAGUGGAAAAUUACUCAAGUGACGGUAUCUACCCAGAAAGGGACGGCUAACUACGUGCCAGCAGCCGCGGUAAUACGUAGGUCCCGAGCGUUGUCCGGAUUUAUUGGGCGUAAAGCGAGCGCAGGUGGUUAUUUAAGUCUGGUGUAAAAGGCAAUGGCUCAACCAUUGUAAGCAUUGGAAACUGGAUGACUUGAGUGCAGUAGAGGAGAGUGGAAUUCCAUGUGUAGCGGUGAAAUGCGUAGAUAUAUGGAGGAACACCGGAGGCGAAAGCGGCUCUCUGGACUGUAACUGACACUGAGGCUCGAAAGCGUGGGGAGCAAACAGGAUUAGAUACCCUGGUAGUCCACGCCGUAAACGAUGAGUGCUAGCUGUUUGGAGCUAUAAGUUCUAAGUAGCGCAGCUAACGCAUUAAGCACUCCGCCUGGGGAGUACGACCGCAAGGUUGAAACUCAAAGGAAUUGACGG
rnacentral:rRNA from 1 species